GUUUAUAUAGUUUAUAAAAACCUUACAUUUUCAAUGUAAAAAUAAAGUCCCCUUUUAUAAAUU
rnacentral:tRNA from 1 species